rnacentral:rRNA from 2 species
AAUCCAUAGGUUAAUGAGGCGAACCGGGGGAACUGAAACAUCUAAGUACCCCGAGGAAAAGAAAUCAACCGAGAUUCCCCCAGUAGCGGCGAGCGAACGGGGAGGAGCCCAGAGCCUGAAUCAGCAUGUGUGUUAGUGGAAGCGUCUGGAAAGGCGCGCGAUACAGGGUGACAGCCCCGUACACAAAAGCGCAUGUGCUGUGAGCUCGAUGAGUAGGGCGGGACACGUGGUAUCCUGUCUGAAUAUGGGGGGACCAUCCUCCAAGGCUAAAUACUCCUGACUGACCGAUAGUGAACCAGUACCGUGAGGGAAAGGCGAAAAGAACCCCGGCGAGGGGAGUGAAAAAGAACCUGAAACCGUGUACGUACAAGCAGUGGGAGCACCCUUUGGGUGUGACUGCGUACCUUUUGUAUAAUGGGUCAGCGACUUAUAUUCUGUAGCAAGGUUAACCGAAUAGGGGAGCCGGAGGGAAACCGAGUCUUAAUUGGGCGUUAAGUUGCAGGGUAUAGACCCGAAACCCGGUGAUCUAGCCAUGGGCAGGUUGAAGGUUGGGUAACACUAACUGGAGGACCGAACCGACUAAUGUUGAAAAAUUAGCGGAUGACCUGUGGCUGGGGGUGAAAGGCCAAUCAAACCGGGAGAUAGCUGGUUCUCCCCGAAAGCUAUUUAGGUAGCGCCUCGUGAAUUCAUCUCCGGGGGUAGAGCACUGUUUCGGCUAGGGGGCCAUCCCGGCUUACCAACCCGAUGCAAACUGCGAAUACCGGAGAAUGUUAUCACGGGAGACACACGGCGGGUGCUAACGUCCGUCGUGAAGAGGGAAACAACCCAGACCGCCAGCUAAGGUCCCAAAGUCAUGGUUAAGUGGGAAACGAUGUGGGAAGGCCCAGACAGCCAGGAUGUUGGCUUAGAAGCAGCCAUCAUUUAAAGAAAGCGUAAUAGCUCACUGGUCGAGUCGGCCUGCGCGGAAGAUGUAACGGGGCUAAACCAUGCACCGAAGCUGCGGCAGCGACGCUUAUGCGUUGUUGGGUAGGGGAGCGUUCUGUAAGCCUGCGAAGGUGGCCUGUGAGGGUUGCUGGAGGUAUCAGAAGUGCGAAUGCUGACAUAAGUAACGAUAAAGCGGGUGAAAAGCCCGCUCGCCGGAAGACCAAGGGUUCCUGUCCAACGUUAAUCGGGGCAGGGUGAGUCGACCCCUAAGGCGAGGCCGAAAGGCGUAGUCGAUGGGAAACGGGUUAAUAUUCCCGUACUUGGUGUUACUGCGAAGGGGGGACGGAGAAGGCUAUGUUGGCCGGGCGACGGUUGUCCCGGUUUAAGCGUGUAGGCUGGUUUUCCAGGCAAAUCCGGAAAAUCAAGGCUGAGGCGUGAUGACGAGGCACUACGGUGCUGAAGCAACAAAUGCCCUGCUUCCAGGAAAAGCCUCUAAGCAUCAGGUAACAUCAAAUCGUACCCCAAACCGACACAGGUGGUCAGGUAGAGAAUACCAAGGCGCUUGAGAGAACUCGGGUGAAGGAACUAGGCAAAAUGGUGCCGUAACUUCGGGAGAAGGCACGCUGACACGUAGGUGAAGUGAUUUACUCACGGAGCUGAAGUCAGUCGAAGAUACCAGCUGGCUGCAACUGUUUAUUAAAAACACAGCACUGUGCAAACACGAAAGUGGACGUAUACGGUGUGACGCCUGCCCGGUGCCGGAAGGUUAAUUGAUGGGGUCAGCGCAAGCGAAGCUCCUGAUCGAAGCCCCGGUAAACGGCGGCCGUAACUAUAACGGUCCUAAGGUAGCGAAAUUCCUUGUCGGGUAAGUUCCGACCUGCACGAAUGGCGUAAUGAUGGCCAGGCUGUCUCCACCCGAGACUCAGUGAAAUUGAACUCGCUGUGAAGAUGCAGUGUACCCGCGGCAAGACGGAAAGACCCCGUGAACCUUUACUAUAGCUUGACACUGAACAUUGAGCCUUGAUGUGUAGGAUAGGUGGGAGGCUUUGAAGUGUGGACGCCAGUCUGC